UCCGGUUUGUCACCGGCAGUCUCCCUAGAGUGCCCAACUAAAUGUAGCAACUAAGGACAAGGGUUGCGCUCGUUGCGGGACUUAACCCAACAUCUCACGACACGAGCUGACGACAGCCAUGCAGCACCUGUGUUCCGGUUCCCUUUCAGGCACAACCCCCUCUCAGGGGCCUUCCAGACAUGUCAAGGGUAGGUAAGGUUGUUCGCGUUGCAUCGAAUUAAUCCACAUCAUCCACCGCUUGUGCGGGUCCCCGUCAAUUCCUUUGAGUUUUAACCUUGCGGCCGUACUCCCCAGGCGGCUCACUUCACGCGUUAGCUUCGGUACCAAGGAAUCGCUUCCCCAACACCUAGUGAGCAUCGUUUAGGGCGUGGACUAC
rnacentral:misc_RNA from 1 species